GUGGGAGGGGGCUUGCUCCCGAUGGCAGAGUGUCAGUCACUGAAUUAAGUGCCUGAUCCACCGCUAUCGGGAGCAAGCCCCCUCCCAC
rnacentral:misc_RNA from 1 species